GAUGAACGCUGGCGGCGUGCCUAAUACAUGCAAGUCGAGCGAACAGAUAAGGAGCUUGCUCCUUUGACGUUAGCGGCGGACGGGUGAGUAACACGUGGGUAACCUACCUAUAAGACUGGAAUAACUCCGGGAAACCGGGGCUAAUGCCGGAUAACAUUUAGAACCGCAUGGUUCUAAAGUGAAAGAUGGUUUUGCUAUCCCUUAUAGAUGGACCCGCGCCGUAUUAGCUAGUUGGUAAGGUAACGGCUUACCAAGGCAACGAUACGUAGCCGACCUGAGAGGGUGAUCGGACACACUGGAACUGAGACACGGUCCAGACUCCUACGGGAGGCAGCAGUAGGGAAUCUUCCGCAAUGGGCGAAAGCCUGACGGAGCAACGCCGCGUGAGUGAUGAAGGUCUUCGGAUCGUAAAACUCUGUUAUUAGAGAAGAACAAAUGUGUAAGUAACUGUGCACGUCUUGACAGUACCUAAUCAGAAAGCCACGGCUAACUACGUG
rnacentral:rRNA from 1 species